AAGUGACAUAGCAAGGAGACUCAUAUUUAAGCGAAGGAGAAAGAGGAAGGGCCCUUUUUCCCCUUGCUCCUCCUCCAGCCGCACAAUGUGAUCCACCGGCAAGGAGGGACACCAAAAAGGCAUCCAAUAAGAUAAGUCUUAUGAAAUAUAUAGAUUUAUGAUUAAGACUGAGCUAGCAGAUGAGAAUCCUAGUCAUUGGUCAAGCAGCUUUGAACGUAAUACAAGUAAUUCAUUUGGGCCCUGACUCGGGCGGGCGGCUGGUGUGAAGCUCACAUGUGACGGUGGGGCUCAGGCGGCUUUUGGCAGAAAGAUUUAUCAUAAAAAAUGACAUUUUGAUCCAAUUUCUUUCUGGAUCCUCUGACAUUGAGUGUAUCUGAUGAAGGGAGUGGCCGGCUGAACUUGAAUCUCUUGACUUUCCUGCAGUUUAGGCUGGGGCUGAGCCUGGACAAAUGUCAGAUAUUUCGUGGAGUUUUUUUCCUCCUAGGGGAUUUCCCUUCUUUGUAUACCAGAAGACUGUACCAUCCACAGCAGCUUCUCCAGUGCUCCAAAGAUACCACAGUUCCUACCUCUUGAAUUCCUUACUGAGGCUUCCACAGGAGGUCAGUUCAUCAAUAGCCUUCUUCCCAAGAUGGUGCCCAACAACAACACUCUCAGACAUGAUUUGAUAAGUGUCAAAGCAAGUGGCUGAAUCAAUGCUGCCCUCAAUGUGGCUGGAUACUAAUUGCCCGAAAGUGACUGGAGACCAAAGUGCCCCAGACUGAAUAACUGUUCCUAUCUUAUAUACCUCAAGUGCUGGGAUUAAAGGUAUGUGACCCCAAGUGCUGAGAUAUCCUUUGUGUGAGCUGUUUCUCUGUUAGACUGGAUCAAUUUCGUGUACCUCAGUGUGGCCUUAAACUAACGAAGAACCGUCUAAGUCUGUCUCCUGAUCCUGGGAUUAAAGGUGUCCAUCACCAAUGCCUAGCUUCUAUAGCUAACUAGUGUGGCUGGCUUUGUAUUCUUAUAUUUUCAGGCAAACUUUAUUAAAUCAUAAAUAAUAUAUCACCACACAUGUUCUAUUGCUAUUAUGGGGGCACAUAAACAGACAUGGCACUGGAAAGGCAGCUGAGAGUUCUAUAUCUUGAUCCAUAGGCAGCAGGAAGAAAGACACCUCAAUGCCCAUAUCCAGUGACACACUUCCUCUAACAAUGUCCCUCAAAGAGGACACACCUGCUAAUAGUGCCACUCCCUAAUGACUAAGCAUUCAAAUCUAUGAGCCUAUGGGACCAAUUCUUAUUAAAGCACCAC
rnacentral:lncRNA from 1 species